rnacentral:tRNA from 1 species
GCGGAUAUAGCGUAGUUGGUAGCGCGCGUCCUUGACAUGGACGAGGUCACUGGUUCAAGUCCAGUUAUUCGCACCA